CCUACGGGGGACAGCAGUGGGGAAUAUUGCACAAUGGGGGAAACCCUGAUGCAGCGACGCCGCGUGCGUGAAGAAGUAUCUCGGUACGUAAAGCUCUAUCAGCAGGGAAGAAAAUGACGGUACCUGACUAAGAAGCCCCUGCGAACUACGUGCCAGCAGCCGAGGUAAUACGUAGGGGGCAAGCGUUGUCCGGAUGUACUGGGGGGAAAGGGAGCGUAGACGGCUGCACAAGUCUGGGGUGAAAUCCCGGGGCUUAAACCCGGAACUGCUUUGGAAACUGUGCAGCGGGAGUGCAGGAGGGGUAAGCGGAAUUCCUAGUGUAGCGGUGAAAUGCGUAGAUAUUAGGAAGAACACCGGUGGCGAAGGCAGCUUACUGGACUGUAACUGACGUUGAGGCUCGAAAGCGUGGGGAGCAAACAGGAUUAGAUACCCCUGUAGUC
rnacentral:rRNA from 1 species